rnacentral:rRNA from 1 species
AAUGGGCGGAAGCCUGAUGCAGCGACGCCGCGUGAGGGAUGAAGGCCUUCGGGUUGUAAACCUCUUUCAGCAGGGACGAAGCGUGAGUGACGGUACCUGCAGAAGAAGCACCGGCUAACUACGUGCCAGCAGCCGCGGUAAUACGUAGGGUGCGAGCGUUGUCCGGAAUUACUGGGCGUAAAGAGUUCGUAGGCGGUUUGUCGCGUCGUUUGUGAAAACCCGGGGCUCAACUUCGGGCUUGCAGGCGAUACGGGCAGACUUGAGUGUUUCAGGGGAGACUGGAAUUCCUGGUGUAGCGGUGAAAUGCGCAGAUAUCAGGAGGAACACCGGUGGCGAAGGCGGGUCUCUGGGAAACAACUGACGCUGAGGAACGAAAGCGUGGGUAGCAAACAGGAUUAGAUACCCUGGUAGUCCACGCCGUAAACGGUGGGCGCUAGGUGUGGGUUCCUUCCACGGGAUCUGUGCCGUAGCUAACGCAUUAAGCGCCCCGCCUGGG